UACAGAGGUCUCAAGCGUUAUUCGGAUUCACUGGGCGUAAAGGGUGCGCAGGCGGCUAUGUGUGUGAGGCGUGAAAGCCCGGGGCUUAACCCCGGAAUUGCACCUCAAACUACAUGGCUAGAGCAUUGGAGAGGGUAGCGGAAUUCACGGUGUAGCAGUGAAAUGCGUAGAUAUCGUGAGGAACACCAGUGGCGAAGGCGGGUCUCUGGACAGUUCCUGACGCUGAGGCACGAAGGCCAGGGGAGCAAACGGG
rnacentral:rRNA from 1 species